rnacentral:lncRNA from 1 species
GGGGGUUUCAUCAUGUUGGCCAGGUUGGUCUUGAACUCCAGGUGUGAGCCACUGUGCCUGGCCUUGAACAAUUGUCUUCUGAAUGUUUAGUUUCUGGUACAGAAUGAAUCAGAAUUCAAGGCAAUCUUGGAGCUUAAGUUUUUUUCCGCACUCCAUCCAUUUAUACAGCUGCCAUCACCGUGGAGUUUUCUGAUGCUAAAGAAGGUGGGUGUUCUGAUUAAAAGCUUGUCCAUUCCCUACAUGGCGUACCGUUUCUCCCUAUGUGGAUUUUCUGGUGCUGUGAAAGUUCUGACCUAUAUUUAAAGGCUUUUCUACAUUCUUUACAAUUGUAUGAUAUCUUCCCAGGGUAAAUUCUCUGAUGUUGGUGAAAGACUGACCUUAGUUUGAAACAUCAGCUUCACUCACCACAUUCAUUAGAUCUGUUCUGUGUGAACUCUCAGAUUUGUAACAAGGUGCAUGCUGUCACUAAUGAUUUUACCUAAUUUCUUAAACUUCUCUUCUGAACAGUGGAGGGACCUAUAUUGCCUGACUGAUACAUCUAUGAAACCUCUCUUCUUUGUCUUUUUCUUCCUUGUGCAAUGACCCUGCUGCCACUCUAAGCUGCCCUAAUGGUCAGAGUGCUAGACUGCAUCCCUUGCUGAUGUCAGUCCUUGGGGUUCUAUUUCUUCAGAAGUUGGCAACUGUGGAUUAGUCCCUUAAUGACAAUUCUGGUCUUAUAUGGUGACAUAACAAAAAGAAAAGACAAGGCCAGACAUGGUGGCUCGCACCUGUAAUCCCAGUACUUUGGGAGGCCGAGACAGGCAGAUCACUUGAGGUCAGGAGUUUGAGACCAGCCUGGCCAACAUGGCAAAACCCCAUCUCUACUAAAAUACAAAAACUAACUGGGCAUGGAGGUAUGUGCCUGUGGUUUCAGCUACUUGGGAGGCUGAGGCACAAGAAUCGCUUGAACCCAGGAGGCAGAGAUUGCAGUGUGCCAAGAUUGUACCACUGCACUCCAGCCAGGGUGACAGCAAGACUCAGAAAGAAAGAAAGAGGGAGGGAGGGAGGGAGAGAGGGAGGAAGGAAGGAAGGAAAAGGAAAGGAAGGAGGGAAGGAAGGGUCAAAUUUCAAUCAUUAGCUGGGCUGGAGGAGAAAGUCAAUCAAGUGUUACUAGGUUACUUUCUGAGUAUAUGGUUUCUUCCCAACAGACUAAAAUGGCUGCAUAAGGGCCAGAGGAAACAAGGACAGAGACCUAAUGGGAUCCCACAGAAAACUGAAGAUGCUGGUAAUUAACAGGAUGGGUCAAAAGAGGAGCUAUUUUGUUUCCAGAAGCAGGGCGACAAGAAUUAAAGAGUGUAGAGGGAGAUGAACAGGUCCCUUCAAGAUGGGAAGGAGGUUAGAGAAAAGAGUGAGGUGGAAGAGGGAGAAGCAGCAGCAAGAGCAUGGGAAGAAGAAACAGGAUGUGCCUGGGUCUGGAGGAGAGGGCUAGGUGAGCAGCUGCAGCACCACACCAGAUCCAGCAGGUUGAGAAGCACAGACCAGGAACCGAGGGUUCCAACACCCAACCAACGACUCUUACUUCCAGAAAAUUCUAUGUUCAAAUAUUACCCAUGAAAUAUUCUGUGAUAAGAGAGAAAAUCUUCAUCAGAAAGUUGGCUGAUACCGAAAGCAGAUAAGAAAGCUACUGGCUGCAUAAGGAAUAUUCUUAGUUAAUCUACAAUUUUAGAAGGCUAUUCUUUUCAUUAAUGAAGGCCAUUAGUGGACUAAUCAGAUGACCUAUAGCUGCAGCAAAGAGGAUUCACAAGUAGAUGCAGAAGGACUGUUGGGAAGUUUUCUUACUGAAAUAGCCUUAAGUCCUAGGGCAGGGUCAUUACUGGGAAGGGAGUGCUUCAAGGUAAUGGUGGGGCUGGAUUGAAAGGCACUAUGCUAUAAAAGGAUUCUGUAUAGCUUGAUUUGAAAUUGGAACAGGCUGAAAAUAAGAAGAAAAGCCAAAAUAUAUGUCUCUGGAUUUUUUUUAUCUUGUUCAAUUAAUUUAUUUCAAAUGAAGAAAGCCAGUUUCCAUCCAGUUACAAUCAUGAAUUCCUCAGAGUUUAUUGUUAGGUCAAUAUUUAGAAACAGCAUUACAUUUUCUCACAGAAACAAUGAACAAUAAUGAUUAUGUUUGCUUCCAGGCUAGCUCACAGAAGCCUAUAUUCCUCUAAUUGUAAUGAAAACACAUCUUUGUAUUGAAAAUAGUAGAAAAUUAUACUCUGGCUUCUCUUCAGAUCAUAUAAAUCUUUCACCUUUUACUAAAGAUUUCCAUGGAGAGGAACACCUCUGAGUCUUAAGAUACCAUCUCAUGCCAGUUAGAAUGGCGAUCAUUAAAAAGUCAGGAAACAACAGAUGUUGGAGAGGUUGUGGAAAAAUAGGAAUGCUUUACAUCGUUGAUGGGAGUGUAAAUUAGUUCAACCAUUGUGGAAGACAGUGUGGUGAUUCCUCAAGGAUCUAGAACUAGAAAUACCAUUUGACCCAGCAAUCUCAUUACUGGGCAUAUACCCAAAGUAUUAUAAAUCAUUCUACGAUAAAAAACACCUGCACACGUAUGUUUAUGGCAGCACUGUUCACAACAGCAAAGACUUGGCACCAACCCAAAUGUCCAUCAAUGAUAGACUGGAUUAAGAAAAUGUGGCACAUAUACACCAUGGAAUACUAUGCAGCCAUAAAAGAGGAUGAGUUCACGUCCUUUACAGGGACAUGGAUGAAGCUGGAAACCAUCAUUCUCAGCAAACUAUCACAAGAUCAGAAAACCAAACACGCCUGUUCUCACUCAUAAGUGAGAGUUGAACAAUGAGAACACAUGGACACAGGGAGAGGAACAUCACACACCAGGGCCUGUAGCUGGGAUUAUAGGCGCCUGCCACCACACCUAGCUAAUUUUUGUACUUUUAGUAGAGACCGGGUUUCACCAUGUUGGCCAGGCUGGUCUCAAACUCCUGACCUCAAGUGAUGCACCCACCUCAGCCUUCCAAAGUGCUGGGAUUACAGGCAUGAGCCACCGUGCCCAGUGACCCUAUCUCUUAAAACAAGCAAACAGACAAACACAAAAACAAAGAGGAAAAGCAGGAAGGGAAGCUCACAGGUUCUCUCACUCCCCAGAACAGACACCUCUCAGGGCCUCUCUGCCAAGCAGCACCCAGGGAUCUGGGCCCCAUGGUAUUUCCCCUUGCUCCAGCAGAGAUAUCAGAACUUGUUUUGGGAAUAAAAUGUUUCUCAAGGAGAAAAAAAAGGAAUAGGAAAAUGUGGGGAGUCAACCAGAAUUGAUAUCUGGAACUCUUUUCAGCCCAUCUUCUGCCUUUAGCAAGUGGAGGAAGAACUGGAACACCCCGGAGAACAAGUGAGGCGGGAUCUCAGGGAAAGUGGAGCACUCUACAGAAGGAGCCCAACUGUCUUACUCAGGAAGGAGCGUAACACAUCUGGCCCUGUGAGAGUGUGGGCUGAAAUAGUGGUAGUAUCCCACCCACAUGGUAGGAGGCUAAGAUCUCAAGAAAACAGGGAUGGUGUAGGGACAGAGGGCUCAAUUAGGGCAUCAAAAAAAUUUUCAUUUCCCAUUGUGCCCAAAGCAGAGCCUCUACUAGGGAACUGGGGACAUCUGUUUCAAUACUACAGAGAAUCUAGGGCUCUCCCUGGCCAGCAGUCCCUGAGGCGGGUGAGUUGGGUAACUCAGCUCAUGGAAUUCUGAAAAUGAGCUUAUGAGAGAUACCUCAGCCUAUAAGAGGAAAGAAGCCAGGAAGCUAAGUACAAAGGCUAAGUCCUAGAGAGGGCGUCAUCUGGAGAAGCAACAGAACUGUAUCUCCCAUACCAUCUCUGUACAAGGUCUUUUGAGCAGGCAUCAGGCUGGCCCAUUGUUUGUAGGUGAAAUAGAAAGUUGUAUCCUUGAUGGUCACUAGUUCCUGAAACAAAAGAUUCCUACUCAAGCCCUGGGUGGGAACGUGGGAAGGAAGCAGAUGCGCUGUAGAUAAUUAGAUGGCCAGAUGAAGACCAACAUAGAAAAUCAAUAGUAUACCCCAAAAUUCAGUUGGAAGAUGGACAAGACCUAUAGCGCACACAUGCACGUGUGCACGCAUGCGCGCGCACGCACGCGCGCGCGCGCACACACACACACACACACACACACACACCCCUUCACUGAAAAACAUAAAAGAAGAACUGAAUAAAUAACAAGAGAGAACAUGUUCAUAAGUGGAAAGCAUUAUUUUUCUAAAACUGUCAUUUCUCAUUUAAUCUAUAAGUCACUGCAAUCCCAAAGGAAAUAAUUUUUUAUUCUAAAGUUCUAAAGAAUCUGGAUUAUGAAGCUUAUACAGAGGGACAGAUGAAAAGACUAGUGAGAAUAUUUUUUGGGGAAAAAGGAAAUUUGCUGUACCCAUAUAUCAAUCCAUACUAUAACAUUACAGUAAUCAUUUCCUGACUGUCAGGAGAUCAAGACCAUCCUGGCUAACAUGGUGAAACCCUGUCUCUAAUAAAAAAUACAAAAAAAGUAGCCGGGUGUGGUGGCGGGUGCCUGUAGUCCCAGCUACUGGGGAGGCUGAGGCAGGAGAAUGGUGUGAAUCAGGGAGGUGGAGCUUGCAGUGAGCCGAGAUCAUGCCACUGCACUCUAGCCUGGGGAAGAGAGCAAGACUCCGUCUCAAAAAAAAAAAAAAAACUAGCCAAGCAUGAUGGUGCAUGCCUGUAGUCCCAGCUACUUGGGGGACUGAGGCAGGAGGAUGGCUUGAGCCCAGGAGGUUGAGGUGGCUGCAGUGAGCCAAGAUCUCCCCACUCCACUCCAGCCUGGGUGACAAAGUGAGACCCUGUCAAGAAAAAAAAAAAAAAGAGGAGAGGAGGAUUUGGCCUCCAGGGCAUGGCAUCAUAUAGGGAAAUAUUAAUAGCUGUUUGUGUCUCUUUAUAAGCCCUCACCAUUCCUAGGACCUUGUCCAGGGGGGCUGGACUGGUAAAGAUGAAUCUAACCAUCUCCAGUCUGUGCUCCAUCGCCAUUCCCUCUAAAGUCCUUGUUAACACAGCAAGCUUUGACAUACUGAGUGUUACCCUCCCCCAAGGGGAAGCCUACAAACUAGAGAAGUAGCCCAAUUUCAUACUCUCAAGUGCAGAGGUGUAUUAGCCAAGCUUAUUAUAAUUUGGACUGAACUGUAAGAGGCAGAGUUCUUCCCCCACAGCUUGUUAACUGCUGUUAAGAUAUAAAGAACAGGCCGGGCGCAGUGGCUCAUGCCUGUAAUCCUAACACUUUGAGAGGCUGAGGCGGGGGCAUCACGAGGUCAGGAGUUCGAGACCAGCCUGGCCAACUGGCAAAACCUCAUCUCUACUAAAAAUACAAAAAUUAGCUGGGCAUGGUGGCACAUGCGUGUAAUCCCAGCUACUCGGGAGGCUGAGGAAGGAGAAUCACUUGAACCCGGGGGGUGGAGGCUGCAGUGAGCCAAGAUCACACCACUGCACUCCGGCUAUGGGAGCAAGGACCCUUCUUGGAGAAAAAAAAAAAAUAUAUAUAUAUAUAUAGAGAGAGAGAACGGGGAGUUUAUGGAAUGAGAUGUGUCUGAAGGUGCUACUAAGAAAUCUCAGCUUGGGAAGAUGACGGCUAGGGGCAGGGGCAUUCAAGGAGAGGCAGGAAAUACCCUACCAGAGACCUAUUCUGGUAGAAUAGGAGAUUCCAGAGACUUAUUAGGAGGAAUGGCAGUAGUGACAGAAUUAAAGGAGAGAUCAUGCAGCCACACAGUUGUUGUUACCACCAAGACAGCUUCCAUAUUGGAGUGGAUAUGAAAAUACAAAAAAAAAAAAGAAGGAGAGGAGUGAGGAGGGGAGGGGAGGGGAGGGGAGGGAUAACCAGAACUGAAUCAAAUGGAGAGCUAUAGCCAGAGAGCCAGCCUUGCUACUGUUGAGUUGCUUGCACACAUAUAUCCCAAACAGAAAGACCCAACUCACUCAGCUAUGGCCAGAGGAAGAUGUGAAUGCAGUCUGAGAGAUCACUGAGAGCCAAAAAACGUUAAUAGAGUAUAAUCAACACCAAGGCAGAAUGAAUUGUCAAAAAUAAAUUUAUGAAAGCUUCCAGGCAGAAGAGAAAAAAAAAAAUCCUGAGGCUUCUCAGUUAUCUUAGUUGUCAGGAGACAUGAAGCAAUAGAAAUGAGGGAAAAGACUGUGAUCUAAUUAGCAACAGGCAUCUUUUGGGUGUCUCAUCAGCCCGGUUAACCACCCCCUCCCAAAGGAUGGGGCCCUGGAAGCUUCAUUUACAUCACAUGACCCAGCCCCCUGGGCCAUAGGAUCAGACCAGAAGUGAACAACCAACCCAAACUAAGCAAAUCCGAUUCUCUCUGCCAAGAAUUAGGAAUUAAGUCUGAGAGAUUCUAACUGAAUUUGGGCUGGUCUCUGAAAUGGAGUUGUAAACUUAGGACCUCUGGCAAUUUCUGCCCUAUGCCUAGGAUCAGAGAAAGCAGGAAAGCAAAGAGCAAAAAAGGGAUCAGAAGUGAGGAAAGAGCUGAGAUUGAACCUGAGUGUGCUGCCUGUUGUUCCUGAUUGCUUGGAUUUUCCACGCUCCAGAACUUCUAGUUGCAUUCUUGCCUUUGGGUGCCAGGGUGCAUGCAGAAAUCCUCAUAAUAAAUUAAGUGUAUUUAAGUUAAUUCAAGUAGGUUUCUGCUAUUUUUAAACAGAAUCCUAAAUAGCACACUUAGCUAACUCACUGUUAAAGGCAAAAGUCUGAAAACAGCACAACUUAGUUAAUAGCCAUCCGUCUUUCCUGAAGAAAGUGGACAUUCCUUACGCAAAUCUUGAACUAGCAAGUAGAGGGGAGUAUGAACGGUUUCUGCUCAAAUUCUCACAUAAGUAUUUGGGUUUCUUCCCACACCAACAACCAGUUCUUCAGCUCUCUGGACACCAGCUAGGUGUCUAACAAUUCAACUCUGGCACUAACUACCCAGAGUUAGCAUCAAACCAUACAGGUUAAAGGCUCAGUCCCACAAGACUGUCCCCACUUCAGAUGCCAAUCAUAAGUUCUGGGCCACUGUACUUCUGUUCCCGUAACCCUCUUCUCAUGUUUGAUAAUGUGCUAGAAUGGCUCACAGAAAUCAGGAAGGCACUUUACUUCCUAUUACUGAUUUAUUAUAAAGGACACAACUCAGGAACAGCCAAAUGGAAGAGAUACAAAGGGCAAGGUAUGGAGGGAGGGGCAUGGACCUUCCAUGCACCACCCUUCAAGCACCUCCAUGUGUUCACAAACCUGGAAGCUCUCUGAAUCUCCUUGUUUAGGGUUUGUAUGGAGGUUUCAUUACAUAGGGAUGAUUGAUUACAUUAUUAGCCAUUGAUGAUUAGCUCAGCCUCCAGCCCCUCUCCCCUUCCCAGAGGUUGGAGGUUGGGGUUGAAUGUUCCAGCCCUCUAAUUAUUCCUUGAUCUUUCUGCCACCAGACCCCAUCCCUAAGCUAUCUCAGGGACCUCAGCUACCAGUCAUCUCAUUAGCAUACAAAAGACACACCACUCUGGAGGUUGUAAGGGUCUCAGAAGUUCACGUGCCAAGAACUAAGACUGAAUAUUAUAACAAAAGAUGCUCUUAUUACUAGGAAACUACAAGGAUUUUAGCAGCUUUAUGCCAGAAACUGGGGAAAAGGACAAAUAUAUCUUUCUUAUUGUAUUACAGUAUCACAAGGGGAAAAGUCAGUAUGUUUAGCUAUAACCAUUUCACUUUCCGAAGAAAUAGAAGGCCAGGUGCGGUGGUUCAUGCCUGUAAUCAGAGCAUGUUGGGAGGCCGAGGCAGACGGAUCACCUGAGGUCAGGAGUUCGAGACCAGCCUGGCAAACAUGGUGAAACCCUGUCUCUAGUAAAAAUACAAAAAUUAGCCAGACGUGGUGGCUCAUGCCUGUAAUCCCAGCUACUCAGGAGACUGAGGCAGGAGAAUCGCUUGAACCCGUGAGGCGGAGAGUGCAGUGAGCCGAGAUCACGCCGUUGCACUCCAGCCUGGGUGACAGAGUGAAAUUCCAUCUCAAAAAAAAAAGAAAAAGAAGAAAUGGAAACUCCUUGGGGCCGGGCGCGGUGGCUCACACCUGUAAUCCCAGCACUUUGGGAGGCUGAGGCGGGCGGAUCACAAGGU